UUUCGUAGCAACGAUUACAGACGCUACACAGCUCAGCUCUCUGCGUACGGGGGCUCCCUCCAGUUAUCAGUGCGGGCUUCCCCUCCCCCUCUUCUCGUCCUCUACGGCUCGGCUGAGAGAAGAGAAGGGGAGGGGGAGAUCCCCUUCUUCGCGUCUCUGCCCUGACAGCCCAGAUGCUGUGCAGUCUGCGAGAACACUCGCACUGAGGUAAUGGCGGUGUUUGGAUAUGGAUAGGGCUACACCGCGAAGAGAGAGGUAAAGCACACAGCUGGGACAGGAUGGAUCAGCGCAGCGAGGGAGGAUCUCGUUUAUCCAAAGAGGGCAUAUGGGUCUUCGGUAUGGGAGAACUUAGGGCAAAGGACAGUCGUCUUGCGGAAAUCUGCUCUCUUUUCAGAGAGGGGGGAUGGUGACAUUGGACACGGCACCAUCGAUGCCCAAAAUCAACCCAUUUUUACUUAGAAAGACGGAAGAAAGCCAACCCGUUUAUUCGGGUAACGUGUGUGUUUUCGUUAGGAACACGCGAAGCUACCGGGAAAUAGCAGGGAUGGUUUCAUAUUCGAAUUCUACAACAACACAGGAACGCAGCCUAUGCGCGCGACACAACGCCGUUUGGAACGCCCCCCUCCCACAGGGCGCGAGAUUCAAACAAACUUUUGCAUAAUGUGUUUUAUUUGUAUUCUUCAGCUGCAUUGGUGCUCCCUUCUCAUGUUACAUCCAGUCUGCCAACUCGGAAUGAGUUUACAUCGGGAAAAUUGAACAAUUGCGUUUUAUCUAUCUAUUUCGAGUUGACAUGUAGGCUAGAGGAGUUGUGACGCUUUAUGGGAAAUAUUUUUUUAAAUAACAAGCGAAGCUGCAAAGGAUUGCUUUUAACAAGGAAAGCUCUCCCUCUAGCUCGCUCUCUCUCCUCUCUUUCUCUAUCUUGGGUGUAGGGAGAAGAGCAGUGAUGCUUAUUUAAUUGGUUGUGGACCUCCCAGAGUUUCAGUAUUUCCAAUGAUCAAAAAUUCUAUGCUAAACUAUUCUAAUGUAUGGUUUGUAUUGAAAAGCGCUACAGUCUCAUGUUAUUUUGUGUUAUUCUAUUGUGGUACAAUGUAAUGUACAAUGUAAUUGUAAUAUCAAUAAUAAAGAGAUGAAAUCACAUUAGGUCUUGUAAUCGUUGCACCCCCCCCAACACACACAGCUAUACACCAUAACACCACCAGGGUGCAGUGUGAGAGGUUAAGGUCAUGGGGAAAUUCUAGUGACCACACACCUACCUACCUAACCCAGCCCCAAGGCAUGAAGCACCAGACCCCAGCCCCAAGGCAUGAAGCACCAGACCCCAGCCCCAAGGCAGGGAGCACCAGACCCCAGCCCCAAGGCAGGGAGCACCAGACCCCAGCCUUAAGGCAGGGAGCACCAGACCCCAGAUCCCAGACACGAAGUACCAGGUAGCUGACCCCAGGCAGUAGCAGUGCAUGCUAGGGCCGAGACUGACAGGCCAGAGGGCCAUUGGGGCAGACGACGGGGGCAGGUGUGUGGCUUUCAGAGGAAGGACGGAGACAGGGGAGGUAAGCAGGGUCAGGGGAGGGGAAGAGUGAAUGAGGG
rnacentral:lncRNA from 1 species